GCCUCCCAUUGGCUCGCUCAGCUCGGAUUGACCGGCCGGAGAACCAAUAGCCGCCGGUCUCCAAGGAUCCCGCUGGCGCCGCCCCUCGCAGCGCUGGCAGUAACAAUAUGGCAGCGGCGCCUAUUGGUGGCGGCGCGCUCUGAGCGGAGGACGCCCGGCGGCGGCGGCGGGCAGCGGCUCCCGGGGCGGGCGGCGGCGCCGAGCCCGGGCAGGGGAGAGCGCUGGCAUCUCACGGCGAGCUAAUUGGAGCUUCAGCUGCGUGCCUCUGGUUGUCCACGAGCUUCCUUCUGCCCGUCCUAAGUAAGGAGAAGCAGCAGGAGGAACAGCCAGGGCCAGAUGGGACUGCAUGGAGGGAGAAUCGGAGACUCUGCUUGCAAGGUGUCUCUGUGCAGGUGGUGAUGCUGAACUCUCUGGAGCUGCUGUGUUCACCUAGAACUUGUUAGACCUGUGGAAAAGAUCUUGCCAAGGUGAGUACAAGUGCAGGUUGCCUACAUACUGGCAGGCUGGACCGGAGGUGUGAGCAUCGGAUGGGUGAAGCAUCACUGUGGCAUCUUCGUGUAGCCUGAUCCCAUGCCUUGGGCUGACAGUGAGCUUGCCCUCAGAUGGAAGAUUUGGGGUUUUCCCCAUGGCCGUCACCAACCCUUGUGGUGCCUGUGAUCUGAUAAGGUGGAGGCUGGUCUCAACGGUACCCGCUUCACUGUCACUGAUCUGGACUUUGUGCCAAGGGCUUAGUGAGGAUGGGAUGUAGGCAAGAGGUCUGUAGGCUUGGGGUCAAUACAUAAGACCCUACCUCUACUCUGCAGGGAAAGGAAGAGUAGGGAAGGCAGGGGAGGAGCAUAGACAACACUGUCGGUAUCCAUCCCUGGCCUCUUGCUGCUCUCUCGGCCCAGCAGUGGCUGUUGUGGUGUGGAGGGGGCUCCAGGGCUGUCUGGGGGCUCCAGGGCUGUCUGGGAGCUCCAGGGGACAUCACCGUGCCAACUCCCAGCUUGGAAGUGUGGCAGCCUCACUUGUUUCUGGUGCCAUGCUGAGAAUGGUGUGUGACUUCCCAAGGAUGCUCCUGGCCCUGGACGUGUCCGGAAUAAGGGGGAGCAUGCUUUCUCUUUUUUUCAUCUCUCUUUUCUGCUUUUCCCUGGGGCUUUUGUUAACCGUGAAGCUGUUAAUGCAAAAUGAAGGCAUGGAAAUUUCAUAUUGUAGCAGUUAAUCUGCCCUUCCUAAUAUUUUCCAGUUGUAAAUUGCCAGUGCUAACAGGUACGUGCUGUUGCAACCGAGCAGCUGAUCCUGCCAGGAGGCAGUGGCUGUUGUGUUUGGUCGUUACCGCCUCCUGGGAAGCUGUAACACUCCCUGCCCGAGCACAGCACUGUGAUUAGUUUAACAGGGAGUUUCCAAUUAUUAGUUAGAUGUAUUUCUGCUAGAUUUAUUUUAUGAGAAAAGGUGUUACGUGGUCACGGGACAGCGGUUGCAAAGUUCCAGGCUUUGGCUGGGUCCCUGCAGCACGUGAGAGCUGCUGUUCCCAUCUGCCCCCCGUUUGCUGGCUGUAGCCAUCGGGAGUGUUUGGAUUAAAAUGUUUUGGGGAGGGAGAAUAAAGGAGAAGCUAAGCGCAUUUCCUAGCCUGGAUUUUAGGAGUCACUUAAGGGAGUACGCUCGGAUGAGUAAGGGCAGGGGCGAAUUGCAAACUGCACUUACUGCGUUCGUCUGGGGAUUUUAGCCCUGUAGUUUGUGGCGUGAAAGCUGUGCUUUUCUUAAGAAAGAGCAAUAAAAGGCAACAAGCUUAAAGACCCAGAUUAAUUUAGAGACUGCGGCGGGGGAGGUGAGCUGGAGGCAGAAGCGCGGUGACUCUGGCUGACCUCUCCAUCAACUCCUCCAAACAGCGGGAGCUGCCUGAGCCGCGGUGGGACCGCGGUGUCCCCGGGUUGCUGUGGCUCUGCGCUGUGCUGCUGCGUUGCUUCUGAAGGAGCGGUGCCAGGAUCCGGCCUGAAAACGCCGAGCAGUGCUUUUGUGUGACUCGGGGAAGUUGGCUGGCUGCUGUACGUGCUCUGUGACGCGGCUCGGUGGCUGUUACGAAGGAUUUAAUUAUCCUGAUGACCCACGGUAACAGAAGGAACGGGCCUGUUCACGUCGAGCCACCGCAGCAUGCAUGGUUAUUCCAUUUCCCUCUUUCCUUUUCCUCUCUCCUCUCCAGCAGAAAGCUACAAAGCGAAAGAUGAUGCCUGUGUUCCUCUUUCCCAGGCUGGCGCGGACGAUGGCUCCUAUGAUCUUUGUUUAUACAGAUCUAGGGUAGAUUAAAGCUCCUUUUAACAUUGCGGUGCUUGUCAGGAGGCUGGGUAAGCCUUUGGAUGCAUCUCACUGCAAACACUUCAGACCUCCUGGUAGCUUCCAUCCUCCUUCCCUAAUCGCACGUUUGUGCAGCUGUUUGUUUUGUACAGCCUCAUGAACCCCUGCUCUGGGAGAAUUUUAACCAUUUGCACGGUCUGUUCAAGCUACAGCUUCUAACAUUACGUGGACUGAACAAGACUUUAUUAACCUGCUCUGUGUGAGCGCAGUACACCCUAGGGGGUUUGAGUAGCAUUUUUGGAUUGCUGCAGAAACUCCAGAGUGCCUUACUUGUGUGCUUUGCCUCCGCACGCUGCAGGGAACUGCCGGAGUUUGCCCAGCAGAAUGCGUUGCGUAUGCGUGGAAUUACCAGUUGUAUGUGAUUGGUGAGGAAAAUCCCACAUACAAAGCAGUCCCAUUUGAGGGGCUCACAGGGAGGUGGCUGGAAGAGCACAAAACCUCGUGAGCGUUGCUGUGGCUGAUAAGGAUUUGAAGGCAGCUACAGUUGGAGCCCUGAACAGUUGGGCUGGUUCCUUAUCUUUAUGUACCAUGGCACUCCAUCAAGUGAGAGUUAAUUUUCCAUUUCCUGAGCGAAGGAACAAAAGGAGGACUGCUGUUAGAGCCCUGGGCUGCAGCAAAGCUCUGCACAUUCAGCAGAAAUGGGGAGGCCUUGCUUUCUGGUUUACUGUGCUGUCCCCAGCCGUUCCUGCCUCGAGGUGUGGGCUUCAGCCUUGGUGGCCGCUCUGUGCUCAGCAUCCUCCCAAGUGGGGGCACGGAGCACAGCAGCCAUGUCCAACUCUGGUACCUGAAUGAGUUUCGUUUGGCAGCACUUACAUCUCUCAUCACUUUGAACUUUUUUUAUUUCAGGAAUCAAAAUGGAGGAGAAGACGGCGGUAAUUUAGUUUUAAUGUCAGGUUUUACUGGGAGUGUUACUUGUUACCAGCGAAGCGCACUUAAGUUCUGAAUAAAUCUUAGCAGGUGCUUUUCAUUUGACUAUAUGGCCUAAGUAAGAUUAUUAUAUAAGCCUCUUCUCAACAGUUUUAAAGCCUAAUUAAAUAUUCUCUCUCCUCGGUUGCAAAGGAGAUAUUAUUUUAAUUACAGAAGCUUUCUUCUGGCAUGCAAAGCACUCCUCUACCAAGAAGAGUUCAGCAAUUUCCUAGAUUUGAUAUGCACGUUUUCAUGUAAUCUCAGUUGAGUUCAGCAGGAAGCUGACCAGAAGAUACAGCUCUCAAUAUAAAUUAUACAGUCGUUUCCUGUUUGUGUCAUCCAGAGCUGAUGUGUCUUAACAUUAGCGUGCAAGUUUCCAUUCUUCAUUGUUAGUGAAGAAAAUGGAAAAUAACGUUAUGACUCCCUCCUCUCUUUGUCCUCGCUUUACCAUCUUUGCCAUCUGUUAACCUUCAAAGGAUAUUCCUGUGGCCCAAAGCUUACGGUUUGAAUAGAAGAACUGUCGUGGUCUUUUAUAACAUACGUAAGGCUAUCCAGAUGUGUAACAGGUUGAUGUGAACUGGGGCUCCAGUGACUUUGAAAACGAGACGACGACCACGCAUACAGCUCCCAGAAAACCAACCAGUGGGCUAUUUGUGGUUCUUUAAACAUCUGGAAUUAUUUCCAGAUUUUGCAGGAGACUUAGUGUGCAAUCGAGGGCGAAUUGCUUCAUUUCUGCCUGUCUCAUUUACUCCCUUGUGUAGAAGGCAAAUAAAACUGAUGGGAGAUGGUUGUACGAACAAAUGUUUAUUGUUCGGCAGCGGGACGGUCUGCAUAAGGUACCGCUUAGGUGUAGUUAAUCCUGCCUUGGGGCAGCAGGAUGCCUUGUACAACCUUCUGAAAUUUCUCUCAAGCCUGUGAUCUAGGCUCUGUUGGCUCAGAGCAACUAGGCGUGUUUCAUGUAGGAGUUUGGCUGAUGGAAGCCCUAACCAUGAUUCUAUGUAGCUCGGAGUUUCAAUGGCUUCUCACAUCACCCCGGUUAGUCAGUCCUUGUCUUAAUUUUUCCUCCUCUCCUGAAUUGCAAACCAGAUUCUGCUUGGUGGAUGGUGUGUAUCAUUACUAGAAUUUGCCCUGGCAGCCAGAUGGGUUUCCAAAAAUAACCUACCCAUUGUUGCGGAGCAUCUCUGAACCUCGGGAUGUUAUGCUGCAAUCUCUCUUAGUGGCUUAAGGCUGUCGUUUUGUUUCUAAUGAUUGAACAAAAAUAAACCGUACCGUGAGUAGACUUGACUCUGUGUGCAGUGUAAUGCUAUUUGAGACACGAGAGAAAUUCCUGCAAUGUUUACACGCUGAAGAGAAACUCCUUUGAAGCCAAACUAUUUCUUCUGUGUAUCCACGCGUAUGAUUUUGUUUACAGCUCGGUAUCUGAACAGUCAUCUGCUCAGUGAGCACCUGGUCUUGAGAGAGGCCCGGUGCCUGGGUAGGCGGUGCCAUGUUUGAAGUUACCUGCGUAAGGUGCUGCUUUUGGGCCUUUAGCCCAAGUACCUGCAGCUGCCUGCAGGAGUGGGAUGGCCAGGUAACAAGCUCUUUCCUUGCCCAGAAUGGGGAUGUCGAAGCUUUUGUUGCUGUUAGUUGUUGGGGUUUUUUUUGCGUGUGUGUGCUAGUCUGGGAAAUAAAUUCAAGAUACUUUUGGACUGUGGGCAUUUUCUAGUUUCAGAAUGGUACAAAUCCAAUAUUGGGGAUAUCUCAGUGUUUCCCUAGUGCUGCAGGAGGAUGAGAAUGUAUAGAGAUGUGUUCAGUUGCUGACGGUCUUAUUGUGGCAGUGCUGCUCGCUGUGAUUAUCUUGUCAUUGCUUUUGGAGAGCAUUCUGCAGCCUGACAUCUUGUUAUACUCCCUUUCCUGCUUAUCAGCAGAAGCUCUCGAUAUCUUUUUCUCUAGCCAUCUCCUCAGUAUCCCUUACACUUCAUAUAUUUUUAAAACCCUCUCCAUCAGCUGUUUUUCCUUUUAAUCUUAAUGCAAACUCAAAAUGAGGAAUCCUGGAUAACUUGGCAUCAGCCUCGUGUUUAGUGCAUCUAUUUUAAUUGCAGUUAGAUUGAAAAUCUAAAUUCUUUAGUGCAAAACAUAAAGAUACCAAAAACUUCACAGUGUUUGAGUUAAAAAGUGACUUUUUGACAGAAGAGGAGUGAAGAGGUGAUGAGCAUUUCCUUGGCAGUGGUGGGGGCUCAGCAGGGGGGUGGGAGCCCAGUCGGGUUGCUGCUUGGCCUUCCCAGGACAAGGCCCCAACCCCCACAGGUCUGCAGGCACUGGAUCGAUGGGGUCUCUUGGAAAGAAGCUUCUGUAGACUCUGGACACUUUGCUUAGAGGCCUCCUUGGCUUUAACUGAUAUGAACUGUGAACCUGAAUUUCAUAGUGUGAAAGGAUGCCAGUGGGGGACUGCACCAAAGGCUUGGGCCAAAAGCCAGGUGAAGUCAAUGAAAAGUUCCUAAACUGUUGUUGGUGGACUCUGUUUUGUGUCCAGAAUCCUGCCCAUGUACUCGGCAUUGGUGAGGCCUCACCUCGAGUACUGGGUUCAGUUUGGGGCACCUCAGUACAGAAGGGACAGUGAGGUGCUGGAGCAGGUCCAAAGAAGGGCAACAAGGCUGGUGAAGGGCUUGGAGAAUAUGCUGUACGAGGAGAGACUGAAGGAACUGGGAUUGUUUAGUCUGGGGAGAAGGAGGCUGAGGGGAGACCUUAUUGCUCUCUUCCAAUAUUUGAAAGGUGCUUACAGCGAAAGCGGAGCUGGUCUCUUCUCACUGGUGACAGGUGACAGGAGGAGGGGAAAUGGCCUCAAGCUGCACCAGAGUAAGUUUAGGUUGGAUAUCAGGAAACGCAUCUUUACAGAAAGGGCUGCUAAGCACUGGAAUGGGCUCCCCAGGGAGGUGGUUGAGUCACCAUCCCUGUAUGUGUUUAAGAGCCUUUGGAUGUGGUGCUCAGGGACAUGGUUUAGUGGUGGGUUGCUAGGGUAGUAUGCUUAUGUUGCGGUUGGACUCCAUGAUCUUUAAGGUCUUUUCCAACCUGAUUCUAUGAUUUAUGUUGACUACUGUGCUUUAUGUUGACUACUGUAAAUAGCUUCUAGGUGAUACAAAGACUGUUGAGUUUAAUGCUUAUUUUCCCCUUAAAUGAGAUCGGAGUGGGUCAGAGCAGUGUUUGCUGGUAGGUGCUAAGGGAGGGAGACAUAGAUGUAGUACUCAAGAAUUUUGCUUCUGAUGUGAUCAAGCUGUACCAUGCAAGAUUUUCUUACUCCUCCCUUUGCAAAACUGAAGUGUUUCUUAAAUACUGUGUGCUUGUUUGUCUAGGUUUAUUCCCUCGUAAUUCAGAAGUGAAUUAAAACAGCGGUAGGUUACUCCGUAUAAAUAUGUGAUGACAUGCAAGAUGUAGGUUCUCAAGGGCCAGAAGUUACAUAGAUUGUUAGUAUGGAAAAUGGAGAGCUGCUAGGAUUAAAGAGAGAUGCCAGACGUUGAUAUGCUUGCAUGGAUGUGGGAGAGAAGGGACAGUCAGAUGCAAUAUUUUCUCUGAAUUACAGAGAGAGAACCUUUCAUUAUCUGCAUUCUCUAGAGUAUUCUAUAUUCUCCAGCAUAUUUUUGCCAUAUGUGUUUAGUUUCCAGAAGUUUAUAUACAUUAUCUGCUUUUUGUUCCAAACAAUGUAACAUUUAUUACUAGUUUCAUGAGUUGUUGUUUCAGGGGGGAAAAAAACGUCUGCAUAGAUCUGCCUGUAACUUUGAUUUCUGCUCUGGCCCCGUGCCACAUGCAAUAUAUACCAUCUGCACCAAAGAGGAUGAUAAAAAAUAUGCCUAUCAACCAAGUCAUUGUACAGUUGCCUCAGUCUCUUUCACAGCGUUGCACAUUGUUUUCAUUGUUUUGAGGAAGGUCACCAAUACUUUGCUGUUGGUGGGCAAGAUGGCUUUUAACUGCUAACCCAUCCCCACACAGUUGCAAGGGAUGGUCUCAGAGGCCUUUCCAAUCUCUGUGAUUCUAUGGUUCAUUCCCAAGGCAAGGGGAGAGCACGCCAAAAGUGCGGUGGCAGGGAAGUCUUAAGGGGGAUCACACAAGGAAGCUUCUUGAUUACAAAUUAUUUUGCUUACAGUUCGUGUCCUUUGUAACCUUAACGAACAGUGGAUAAAAAGACUGGACAUAAUUAUAAUUAAAUAGAGGAAUCACUGCGGUGCUGUAACACUCUGCUUUCUCUGUUCACCUUCUCCUUCUUGAAUUACUUAUGCUUGAUUGUUACAAUUGAUUGCAAUUGUGAGAGCUAAUUUUAGUACAUAAAUUUUGUAAUGGAAGCCUGCCAACUGUUUGUGUAAUGGAAGGUAACAACGACGCAGAGUUUGAUACAGGGCAUAUUUCUCUCUUUCUCCAGCCAAAUGUUGGCAACCAUUUCAUGGGCUUAUUCACACACACACACACAUAUAAAUAUAUAUAUGCACAUAUUCAACACGUGUGUAUAUAUAUACAGAUACAUGUAUGGACAGUAUAUAUAGCCAAAGAAGAAGAAAAUUUAGCCAACUCCCUGUGAAAAGCAGAAGAGCAACUUAGAUAACUGUGAUGAGUUUAAGGAACGAGCUGAAUUUAAAGCUGAUGAGAAAGUGAUCAUUUCCUUAGAUAUUGAACAAAUACUAGGAGAAGUUGAGUUUGAUCUUAAACUUUGCAUGAUGGAAAAGAGGACAAAGAGUAUUCCAACCUUAAGAAAAAAAAUCCAAUAUGUUUAGUUUAUGAAACUGAAGACAAGCAUAUGGGUAUAUAAAUCUGGGCCCUUAGAAAAUGUCAUGGCAGUUUUCCUAGCAGCCUGGUCCAAUUUCCAAGAAGUUCAUUGUCAGAACCUGCAGGAAGAGUAGAUUUUAGUUGCCACAGAAUAAGCAGCGAAGGUUUAUUCUUAAUUGAAUUCUAACUCACGGAUGAAUUUGCUUUCCGUGUCCUGUUUUCAUAUAUCCUAGAUUCAAGAUACAGUAAUUAUCAAGGCUGUUUUCCAGGGCCCUUUCUCUUCCUUCACAUGCCAAAGAGGAGGAAGAAAUUUUAAGUGGUCAAGAGGGUGUGAAGAGGGCAGAUGGGUUGGUGGGGUUUAAGGCUUUUAGGGAUGAUUUUUUCUAUGGAUUGAAAAGCGUAACUUAAAAAAGAAAGGUUAUCUGGCAGAUUCGUUCUGGUUACUCAAGUUAUUACGUGAGCCCAUUGGUAAGGUAAGGUAUGCAAACCAACUGCAACUCGUAUCAUCUUUCUCCCACAGGUUUUUGGUGUCUCCUCUCACUCGUUUUUCUCUUUUUGCCAUUCUAGUUGUGAUUGUUUAAAAACAAGUUAUAAUUUGAAGCUCACAUUGUACAAACUUUUAUCUUGGUCAUCCUCCUGGAGUUAUUCACAGAUGUGAAGGUUUGGCAAAGUCAUGGCCAAGUAUGACAGGUGGAGGAUCUACGUUCUCGAAUCAGCUCUUCCUUUUGUCUUUGUUUUGGGGAUUUUUAGUUCAACUCGGUGCCAUAUGGGGUUUACUUAAGGAGAUAGUGUGUCUCUGCAAAAGCGUCUUUAAAAGGGAUAGAACAGUUUAAAUAUGUUCAAGAGAAUUAAUUAAAGUGUCUUUCAGUUGAAAGGAAACGAGACUUUUUUUCUUUCAAAAUAAAGCCCCAGCCCUGUGAAACGUUUUGCAUCAAUUACAAAAGGAGCUUCAGUACAUUCUUCUAAAAUGGGGAAUGAGCAAACUGCAUCUGCUAGGUGUGGGAGUGACAUUUCAAAAUCCCACUGACAGUUGAAUUAGCAAACUAAACAUCAUCUUGCUCGUCCUGGUGCCAAGUGAGUAGCUCCCCACUUUCCAGAAGUGAAAUUGUCCCCUCCGAGGGGUGAAAUUGACCCAAGGAAAACGCUGGUGGAGACCCUCUGAUAGGACAGAGUCCUCAGUUCUCUACCACAGUAAAUGUUGAUUUCUGCCGGAAACUUUAGAGCUGCCUGUUGUUAACAUCAUAACAACACGAGGCAGGGCUCCUGGAUUUACUUAGGUUUAUAUGGCAAAGCCACCUUUGUCUGCCCCAAAAUAAGGGUGGCUGUAUGCCUGCCUACGGUUUGUGCCAUCCAGUGUUGACUCUUUCCUUGUGGCUCUCAGAAACGCCUUGUUUAAGCAAUGGAUGUACAUAAACCCCCUUGUCUUAUCAGAAAUGACUGAAGAAAGGGAAAAGUGUGGCAUUUCCUGAACCACGGGGGCUUUCACUGUUGUUUUAUACUUCAGAGUUUCUUUGAAUGAUAAAAUAAUAAUAGUCUGUGAUGCUAUAGUGAUCCUCAGUCAUAGUUACCUACUUAUUUACAUCACAGUUUUCAUGGUUGAAUCACUGGGUGCGUCACAAAGGCAGACCUUCGAUGUCGUGUCUGUUCUAAUGGGAAUGGGUUGUGACUUCGAGAAAUGAAAUGUCACAGCAAAGGUCACACUGUGGAGCUGCCAGAGAGCUGGGAAGAAGGCCUCUACUGUAGACUGUCAGAUGAACAACGCCAUUCCCAGUUUCAGUUUGCUGCUGUUUUGCUUUCAGAAAGAUUGCAGGAUCAGACAAUUGUGUGGGCUCGAGAACUCUCUGAUCCCACCUUCCUCUCAGAAAGCUUUUACAAGCAUUUAUAUAUAUGUGUGUGUAUAUGCGUAUGUAUGUGUGAACAGUAAUCUGAUGCAGGAGCAUCAUGCAUAUUGCUGCUGUGUUUCACAUUGUUGCCCAUGUUAUGAAAGAAUUUAUUUGUCACAUUAGUCUAGCAGUAAUUUACUCAGUCCCUCAGUCCUAUGUAAACUUAGAUCUUGCCUUCCUAUCACAAAGAGAGCAAUGACGUAGAAUCACAGAAUCACAAAGGUUGGAGAAGAUCUCUAAGAUCACCCAGUCCAACUGUCAGCCCACCCCCACCACGCCCACUGCCCAUAUCCCUCAGUGCCACAUCCACACGGCUCUUCAACACCUCCAGGGACGGUGACUGCACCACCUCCAUGGGCAGCUUGUUCCAUUAAUGGGAAGGUGCCUGGGAUACUGUUGCAAAGAGUGAGUUUGAAGGAAGUGAAAGUCUGGAUGGGCAGGUAGAAAAUAACUUUGGCAAGGUAAUACAGUAGCCAGAGCCAGGGACAGAACCAGGAGCAGUAAUGAAAGAGAACCAGUAACAGCAGAGAAGAUGAUUUGAAGGGAAAGCUGGAGAUUCAAGCCAAUAGAGGUCUGCUGCCUUUGAUGUAACUAACAUGUAGGUCCAUGGAAGCUGGAGGAGAGAAGAAUGGCGGUGAUCAGCUGCACCGGCUGCUCCUUGUCUGGCAAUCCUUCGGCAUCUGUAAGCUUCUUUGUGAGGGGAUCUGCAAAAGCUGCGUGUGACAAGAAGCUCAUGUUGCUACAAGCACAGAUAUACUUGUUUAGCUGGGAGGCAUUUCUGCAAGGGCUGCCCUUGCCGUGGAAAACCAUGCGUGGAGCAGAAAUCAGAGGUGAAGACCUUGGUCUUCUGCGGUGUGCAUGUACUGCGUUUCGAGCUGUGACACCACUCCUGUGGUGCUGGGGGACGCAAAGCUGGCAUCUCUGGGAGAGGGGAGAGGUGGUGUCUGGCCCACAAGAUGAGGCUCUACCUGAAAAUGUCAUUCUCCGAAUUCAGGUAGAAGCCGUGCUUUAAGUAAAACUACUCACUAUACACGCAGUGGCUGUUAUUUGCCUGUUCUCUCCAAGGUCCUACUAACUAUUAGUGGGUUUUUCCCCUCCUGAGGCUUUCAUGUUUCUUAACUUCACAGUGUUUAAAUCCCACAGCGCAGUCAUUGGCUGUGGAUAAGCAGGGAGGAUGGGGCUGGUUAUGGCCAGAGUGACUGGUGGAUGUGGCAGGCAGCAGCACCAUGCUGCGUGCCAUGCUGUAUGUCAUGCCAUAUGCCAUGUACUAUAUGGGGCUGUAGUGACAGUUGUGCCUGAGGCUGCUGGGAGGCUGCAAGUUGACAGCAGUACUCACAUGGUUGGAAAGCCUAGCUCAGCAACACAGGCUGGGAUUAUACGUAGGCACUUUGUAACCUUUUCUUAUAUUAUUUUUGAUAGGGCAACACUGUUGUUAGUGAAAUAGGGCUUGGUUAGCUGAAAUGGCUCACUGCAGGGUGGGUUGCUGCAUUUGCAGGGCAAGAUGCAAUGUUCCUCUUGGGUGCUGCAGCCAGACCUGCAAUCUGCCUCAGAGGCUUAGUGGGAAAAACACAGAAGAAACUGUUCUGAGCAGCACUGUGGUGAUGGUGCAUGGCUCAGUCUGAUUGCAGUGUGCUCCCUGUUUGGGCUCACUUUUCAGAAGAAAAUGAAACUGCUUGCUGGAGAGUCAGAGCGGGAUUUUCAUUUUUAUUUUUAUGCUCCAAGCCUGAGCUGAUGCUGUAGGGGAUGGUAUUAUCCCUCCUCUUCCUCUUCUGGGCCCUGCGUGCCUCUGCCUUGCUGGUUUCUGCCCCAGUGUUCUCUGGCCACAUGGCUGAACAGGGACCUGCCGUCAUCAGGCACUGAUUUGACUGGCGUGUGGGUGCAGCCAUGCUGGGGUAGCAUGAAGGAGUCGAGGGGAUGUGUGGUCUUGAUUAGAAUGAAUAGUGGAAGUAUACCUGCGUGACACAUCUUCUGCCCUUCAGGUUUGAUGCCAGUGUCAGUGUUCAGCUGUUGGAGUGAUGGGUGCAGGAAAAACACCUUGCAAAGUCCACUCGUCUCAAUCCUUCCUUUCUUCUCUGUGUAUUUAUACCAGGAAGCACUUCUGUGCUGUGCAGCAGACAGAGCGCUGGCACAGGCUGCCCAGAGGCUGUGGAGUCUCCUCCUUGGAGGUCUUCAAAAUCCAACUGGCCAUGGCCCUGGGCACCCUCUCCGGACGUUCAUUCUGCAGCAGGGGUUGGGCCAGGUGGACACAAAGAGC
rnacentral:lncRNA from 1 species